GCUAUUAGGGUUAUGACUAUAGAUACACCUGAGAACCCAAAUGAUAUUUCUAUUUCUGAUGCUGAAACACAAUCUGGUGAUGAACAUGAACCUAGUGCUAAUGAUAAUGAUGAUGCUCAACCUAGUAAUGAUAAUGAGUUGGAGAUAGAACAUGUUGUUGAUCAUGAUAACCCACAACCUAAGAAUAAACGUUAUGAUAAGAGAGACUUCAUUGCUAGGAAGCAUGGUAAAGAAAGAGAACCAUGGGUUCACAAACCCAUGCCCUUUCCUCCUAAACCAACCAAGAAAAAGGAUGAUGAGGAUUUUGAGCGCUUUGUUGAAAUGCUUAGACCUGUCUUUUUGCGUAUGCGUUUGACUGAUAUCCUGAAAAUGUCUCCUUAUGCUAAGUAUAUGAUGGAUAUUGUUACAAAUAAAAGAAAGAUACUGGAAGAUGAAAUUUCCAGCAUGCUUGCUAAUUACACUUUCAAG
rnacentral:rRNA from 1 species